rnacentral:rRNA from 1 species
CAGGCCUAACACAUGCAAGUCGAACGAGAACGGAUUAUAGCUUGCUAUAAUUGUCAGCUAAGUGGCGCACGGGUGAGUAAUAUAUAGAUAACCUGCCCUCAAGAAAGGAAUAACAGUUGGAAACGACUGCUAAUGCCCUAUAUGCCUUUAAUACAUAAGUAUGCAAGGGAAACGCUUUAGUGCUUGAGGAUGGGUCUGUAUGGUAUCAGCUUGUUGGUGAGGUAAUGGCUCACCAAGGCUAUGACGCCUAACUGGUUUGAGAGGAUGAUCAGUCACACUGGAACUGAGACACGGUCCAGACUCCUACGGGAGGCAGCAGUGGGGAAUAUUGCACAAUGGACGAAAGUCUGAUGCAGCAACGCCGCGUGGAGGAUGACACAUUUCGGUGCGUAAACUCCUUUUAUAUGGGAAGUAAUGACGGUACCAUAUGAAUAAGCACCGGCUAACUCCGUGCCAGCAGCCGCGGUAAUACGGAGGGUGCAAGCGUUACUCGGAAUCACUGGGCGUAAAGAGCGUGUAGGCGGAUAUAUAAGUCAGAAGUGAAAUCCAAUAGCUUAACUAUUGAACUGCUUUUGAAACUGUAUAUCUAGAAUGUGGGAGAGGUAGAUGGAAUUUCUGGUGUAGGGGUAAAAUCCGUAGAGAUCAGAAGGAAUACCGAUUGCGAAGGCGAUCUACUGGAACAUUAUUGACGCUGAGACGCGAAAGCGUGGGGAGCAAACAGGAUUAGAUACCCUGGUAGUCCACGCCCUAAACGAUGCACACUAGUUGUUGUGAGGCUAGACCUUGCAGUAAUGCAGUUAACACAUUAAGUGUGCCGCCUGGGGAGUACGGUCGCAAGAUUAAAACUCAAAGGAAUUGACGG